rnacentral:rRNA from 1 species
ACACAUGCAAGUCGAACGAGCGAGAGAGAGCUUGCUUUCUCGAGCGAGUGGCGAACGGGUGAGUAACGCGUGAGGAACCUGCCUCAAAGAGGGGGACAACAGUUGGAAACGACUGCUAAUACCGCAUAAGCCCACGGUGCCGCAUGGCACAGAGGGAAAAGGAGUAAUCCGCUUUGAGAUGGCCUCGCGUCCGAUUAGCUAGUUGGUGAGGUAACGGCCCACCAAGGCGACGAUCGGUAGCCGGACUGAGAGGUUGAACGGCCACAUUGGGACUGAGACACGGCCCAGACUCCUACGGGAGGCAGCAGUGGGGAAUAUUGCACAAUGGGGGAAACCCUGAUGCAGCGACGCCGCGUGGAGGAAGAAGGUCUUCGGAUUGUAAACUCCUGUUGUUGGGGAAGAUAAUGACGGUACCCAACAAGGAAGUGACGGCUAACUACGUGCCAGCAGCCGCGGUAAAACGUAGGUCACAAGCGUUGUCCGGAAUUACUGGGUGUAAAGGGAGCGCAGGCGGGAAGACAAGUUGGAAGUGAAAUCUAUGGGCUCAACCCAUAAACUGCUUUCAAAACUGUUUUUCUUGAGUAGUGCAGAGGUAGGCGGAAUUCCCGGUGUAGCGGUGGAAUGCGUAGAUAUCGGGAGGAACACCAGUGGCGAAGGCGGCCUACUGGGCACCAACUGACGCUGAGGCUCGAAAGUGUGGGUAGCAAACAGGAUUAGAUACCCUGGUAGUCCACACCGUAAACGAUGAUUACUAGGUGUUGGAGGAUUGACCCCUUCAGCGCCGCAGUUAACACAAUAAGUAAUCCACCUGGGGAGUACGACCGCAAGGUUGAAACUCAAAGGAAUUGACGGGGGCCCGCACAAGCAGUGG